AGCUACAGCCAUGCCACCCUGAACGUGCCCGAUCUCGUCUGAUCUCGGAAGCUAAGCAGGGUCGGGCCUGGUUAGUACUUGGAUGGGAGACCACCUAGGACCCUUGCACAUAGGUC
rnacentral:rRNA from 1 species